AGGAGAGACAAAAGAGAAGAAGAGAUUUUUGGAGAAAAUCAAGGAGAAAAUUCCUGGUUACCACUCCAAAACAGAGGACGAGAAGGAAAAAGAGACCACUGCUCCCCAUUAAUGAAUCAAUAUAAUGCAUUUCAAGUAAAAGAUGUUUAUGAGAUUGUGUGGUUUAUUAAUUUGUUGGAACUGUUUGUUCUCUGUUUUUCUUUUUGGGGUUGCAUACAUCAUA
rnacentral:lncRNA from 1 species